GAGUGAACGCUGGCGGUAGGCCUAACACAUGCAAGUCGAACGGCAGCGCAGUAAGAGCUUGCUCUUACGGGUGGCGAGUGGCGGACGGGUGAGGAAUACAUCGGAAUCUACUUUUUCGUGGGGGAUAACGUAGGGAAACUUACGCUAAUACCGCAUACGACCUACGGGUGAAAGCAGGGGAUCUUCGGACCUUGCGCGAUUGAAUGAGCCGAUGUCGGAUUAGCUAGUUGGCGGGGUAAAGGCCCACCAAGGCGACGAUCCGUAGCUGGUCUGAGAGGAUGAUCAGCCACACUGGAACUGAGACACGGUCCAGACUCCUACGGGAGGCAGCAGUGGGGAAUAUUGGACAAUGGGCGCAAGCCUGAUCCAGCCAUACCGCGUGGGUGAAGAAGGCCUUCGGGUUGUAAAGCCCUUUUGUUGGGAAAGAAAAGCAGCAGGUUAAUACCCCGCUGUUCUGACGGUACCCAAAGAAUAAGCACCGGCUAACUUCGUG
rnacentral:rRNA from 1 species